rnacentral:rRNA from 1 species
GAUGAACGCUGGCGGCGUGCCUAAUACAUGCAAGUCGAGCGAACGGACGAGAAGCUUGCUUCUCUGAUGUUAGCGGCGGACGGGUGAGUAACACGUGGAUAACCUACCUAUAAGACUGGGAUAACUUCGGGAAACCGGAGCUAAUACCGGAUGAUAUUUUGAACCGCAUGGUUCAAAAGUGAAAGACGGUCUUGCUGUCACUUAUAGAUGGAUCCGCGCUGCAUUAGCUAGUUGGUAAGGUAACGGCUUACCAAGGCAACGAUGCAUAGCCGACCUGAGAGGGUGAUCGGCCACACUGGAACUGAGACACGGUCCAGACUCCUACGGGAGGCAGCAGUAGGGAAUCUUCCGCAAGGGGCGAAAGCCUGACGGAGCAACGCCGCGUGAGUGAUGAAGGUCUUCGGAUCGUAAAACUCUGUUAUUAGGGAAGAACAUAUGUGUAAGUAACUGUGCACAUCUUGACGGUACCUAAUCAGAAAGCCACGGCUAACUACGU